rnacentral:rRNA from 1 species
AGUGAAGCGGGAUGAGCUCAAAUUUAAAAUCUGACUGGUUUACCAGCCCGAGUUGUAGUUUAAAGAAGCGUUUUCGGUGGCAGUCUCGGUAUAAAUCCUUUGGAAUAGGGUAUCAUAGAGGGUGAGAAUCCCGUCUUUGACUGAGAAUAUGCUACUAUGUGAUACGUUUUCAAAGAGUCGAGUUGUUUGGGAAUGCAGCUCAAAAUGGGUGGUAAAUUUCAUCUAAAGCUAAAUAUUGGCGAGAGACCGAUAGCGAACAAGUACCGUGAGGGAAAGAUGAAAAGAACUUUGAAAAGAGAGUUAAACAGUGCGUGAAAUUGUUGAAAGGGAAACGCUUGAAACCAGUCAUGCGGUUGGGAAAUCAGUCUCUGACGGGGGGGAAUGGGGGAGUUGUGGACCGCAAGGCCGCUCUUUUUCAUAUCUCUUUUGGCAGGGAUGCACUUUUUCUUCUGCAGGUCAACAUCAGUUUGCUUUGCCGGACAAAACUCUUGGGAAGGUGACAGCUUUGGCUGUGUUAUAGCCCUUGAGCGAUACGGUGGAGUGGACUGAGGUUUUCGCAGCAUGUGCUCUCGGGCAAGGCUGAUUGGGUGCUAUGAGAUCGUUCAGGGUACAAUACAUGUAUUUUGCCUUGUGUCUUUUUUAUACUCGCUCAACUCGGCUCUUCCAUGCUUAGGAUGUUGACAUAAUGGUUUUAAUCGACCCGUCUUGAAACACGGACCAAGGAGUCUAACAUAUAUGCAAGUGUUUGGGUGGCAAACCCAUGCGCGUAAUGAAAGUGAACGUAGGUGCGAUCCGCAAGGUGCAGCAUCGACCGAUCUUGAUAUUUUUGGAUAGAUUUGAGUAAGAGCAUAUAUGCUGGGACCCGAAAGAUGGUGAACUAUGCCUGAAUAGGGUGAAGCCAGAGGAAACUCUGGUGGAGGCUCGUAGCGAUUCUGACGUGCAAAUCGAUCGUCAAAUUUGGGUAUAGGGCGAAAAGACUA